AUGGUGACGGUGGUGGUGAACUUGUUCCCGCACAACUUCGCCGUGCACUGCGGAAAAACUAGAAGGAGGAUGAAACUCAGGAGAGGGGCACGGCACACAGCUUAG
rnacentral:rRNA from 1 species